CACUUUAAUUUAAAAAAAUCACGCGUACCUUGCUUGUUUCCAGCGAAAGCCCGAGAGCGAGAGCCGAGAAUCGAGGGCCCCGGGAAACUAACAUUAUGUGAGGUGGAAUCAUUUCCAAGCGAUGGAAGGCUGUGACGAGGCUUUUGGUACUUGGCAGCACCGGCGAGAAGGCCGUCUCAGAGAAUAACGAGGGAAAGGGAAAAAAAAUGUCGUGCUCGUGUCCGCCUCUCUCUCUCGCUCGAGCUUCUUUGAACUCCAGAAGGAGUUUCAGAAAGGCUUCAAGCAAUCAAGAUCUUGGUCAACCACAUUCAUUUUUUCUAGCUGUUGGAUCCAAGAGAUCUCGCUGGCAAUAUCCUUUUUCAUGCCCACAUAGAUUAUCAAUAAAUCAGAAGCCUGAGCAUGAUUUUGCACUCUCAACGAUCCUGAAAGACAACUCAGCUAUGACCACCGUUGAGGAAGAUGCUGAACAUCUUGGUAUCUUCAAUGUGGAUCCAUCUUUAGAACAAUUUAAAGACCAUUUUGUCUAUAGAUCCAAGAGAUACGUAGAGCAAAAAUCAUUGAUUGAGAAGUAUGAAGGGAGUUUGGAGGAAUUCACUCAAGGUUAUCUGAAGUUUGGAUUCAAUAGAGAACAGGAUGGGAUCGUAUACCGUGAAUGGGCUCCUGCUGCAGAGGAAGCACAACUUAUUGGCGACUUUAAUGGGUGGGAUGGGUCGAACCACAGAAUGGAAAGAAAUGAAUUUGGUGUUUGGACGAUUAAAAUUCCAGACGCUGAUGGGAAGCCAUCCAUUCCUCACAAUUCCAGGGUUAAAUUUCGCUUUAAGCAUGGCAAUGGAAUAUGGGUUGAUAGAAUUCCAGCUUGGAUCAGAUAUACAACUGUUGAUCCUAAUCGAUUUGCAGCUCCAUAUGAUGGAGUUCAUUGGGAUCCACCACCUUCAGAAAGGUAUGUUUUUAAGUACCCUCGCCCUCCGAAACCUGCAGCUCCACGCAUAUACGAGGCUCAUGUCGGGAUGAGUGGUUCAGAACCACGCGUGAGUACAUACAGAGAAUUUGCUGACAAUGUUCUGCCUCGCAUACAAGCAAAUAACUACAAUACAGUUCAGUUGAUGGCUAUUAUGGAACAUUCCUACUAUGCAUCUUUUGGGUAUCAUGUCACAAAUUUUUUCGCUGUUAGCAAUAGAUCAGGAACACCUGAGGACCUCAAGUAUCUGAUUGACAAAGCACACAGUUUAGGUCUGCGUGUUCUGAUGGAUGUUAUCCAUAGCCAUGCAAGCAACAAUGUCACUGAUGGUCUUAAUGGGUUUGAUGUUGGACAGAGUAUUCAAGAAUCUUACUUCCAUACUGGGGAGCGUGGUUACCAUAAGCUGUGGGACAGCCGACUAUUCAACUAUGCUAAUUGGGAAGUCUUGAGGUUCCUUUUAUCUAACCUCAGAUGGUGGUUGGAAGAAUUCCAGUUUGAUGGUUUUCGAUUUGAUGGAGUCACUUCAAUGCUUUAUCAUCAUCAUGGUAUCAACAUGGUAUUCACUGGAAAUUAUAGUGAGUAUUUUAGUGAGGCAACUGAUGUGGAUGGUGUUGUUUAUAUGAUGCUGGCAAAUCACUUGGUUCACAAACUCUUGCCAGAUGCAACUGUAGUUGCUGAAGAUGUUUCAGGGAUGCCAUCUCUAUGUCGGCCAGUUUAUGAAGGUGGAGUGGGUUUUGACUAUCGGUUGGCAAUGGCAAUUCCUGACAAGUGGAUCGACUACUUGAAGAACAAAAAAGAUAUGGAAUGGUCAAUGCAAGAAAUUGUGUGGAGUUUAACCAACCGGAGAUACAGUGAAAUGUGUAUAGCAUAUGCAGAGAGCCAUGAUCAGGCCAUUGUGGGAGACAAGACAAUUGCCUUUUUAUUGAUGGAUAAGGAAAUGUACUCUGGAAUGUCUGAUUUACAACCUGCUUCACCUGUAGUUGAACGAGGGAUUGCACUUCAUAAGAUGAUUCACUUCAUAACCAUGGCACUAGGAGGUGAAGGUUACUUAAAUUUCAUGGGAAAUGAGUUCGGUCAUCCAGAAUGGAUUGACUUUCCAAGAGAAGGCAAUGGUUGGAGUUAUGAUAAGUGCAGACGCCAGUGGAACCUUGUUGACACUGAUCACCUGAGAUACAAGCACUUGAAUGCGUUUGAUAGAGCGAUGAAUUUGCUUGAUGAUAGAUUUUCAUUCCUUGCAUCAACAAAGCAGAUUGUGAGCAGUGUAAAUGAAGAGGACAAGGUAAUUGUUUGUGAACGUGGAGAUUUGGUUUUUGUGUUCAAUUUCCAUCCUGAAAACACCUAUGAUGGGUAUAAAAUUGGGUGUGACUUGCCAGGAAAGUACAGAGUUGCACUGGAUAGUGAUGCUCUUCAAUUUGGUGGACAUGGAAGAGUAAGAUGCCAUUGCCAUACAUGACAAUUUUUUGUUGGUGUACAUUUCUCAGCUCGGAUUAGUACUCGUGGAUCAACAUCAAAUUUCUAACGUUUACACCAAAUAUUGAGUUCCAUUUUACAAAUACUCACUUCUGAGAUCACAUCCGCUUCACCAUUGUUUUGCUGCAAGAACCAUACCGAUGAGACACAUGACUAGGUGUUAGAUGUUGCAUGAUUAGUUUCUCAUUUAUCAUCCUCCAACACUGGCACGUAAGCAGCACGCAUGAGUUACAUUAACUUCAUAGGUUGGUCAUGAUGUGGACCAUUUCACGACCCCCGAAGGCAUACCAGGAGUACCUGAAACAAAUUUUAACAAUCGGCCAAACUCGUUCAAAGUCCUAUCUCCUGCUCGCACUUGUGUGGUGUAUUACAAAGUUGAAGAAAACCCUGAAGAUUUUGAUGAGGAGAUGAUGGAUGCUGAGGAGGCAGUAGCCAGAGAUGAGGAACCUGAGAAGGGGACUUCCAACCAAGCUGCUGAUGAAGUUCUGGUCCCAUUUGGAAUGCCAGAUGAAGAUGAAAUAUAAGGUAUGGGAGAUGCAGAAGCUGAUGGUUGAAGUUAAUAAUCGCGCAGGGUUAUAACUAGUAGUUGAUAACAUGUGGUAAAUGCCAAAAUGACCUCCAAGUUGGUUAAAACAUGUCCAUAUUUGAAUAUUUUAUCAUGUCCAUGAUGGAAAAUUGGAAAUGGCAUUGCUUGGGGUCAGCUUGGUUGUUUUUAUGUUGAAGCUGCAACAAGCAUGUUCUUUUGAUUCUCCUCAACCAUCACAAAGAAGUUGCUUUUGAGCUCAGGCAAGUUAAA